UACGAAGGUGGCAAGGCGUUGUUCGGAUUUACUGGGCGUACAGGGAGCGUAGGCGGUUGGAUAAGCCCUCCGUGAAAAUCUCCAGGCUUAACCUGGAAAGUGCAGAGGGGACUGUUCAGCUAGAGGAUGGGAGAGGAGCGCGGAAUUCCCGGUGUAGCGGUGAAAUGCGUAGAGAUCGGGAGGAAGGCCGGUGGCGAAGGCGGCGCUCUGGAACAUUUCUGACGCUGAGGCUCGAAAGCGUGGGGAGCAAACAGGG
rnacentral:rRNA from 1 species